UAUGUGAAGGAGCCCAGCUGGGUUCGUAGCUGCAGUCCCAACCCGAGGUUCCCAGUCACCUGCCUUGAGACUGAGUUAGCAGAUGUAGAGGCCUCCCCCUGCGUGUCCAAGGCUCUGGGUUCAUGUUGGAGGGAUGGAAGGUACCUAUCCAUCUUCCUGGAGGAGUAUGGGUAUAUGGAUCAUGUUUAUUGUGCUAUUUGGAUGUGUGUGUGUGUGUGUGUGUGUGUCACUAUGUAGCCCUGCUGGAACUUGAUGUUAGACCAGGCUGGCCUGCAGUUCUGACUUUUUUUUUUAAAUGCAAAUCAUGGUUACUAAGAAAAAGUUUGACAGAAGAAAAUAAAAUCUAGCCUCAAAGCCUUUCACCAAGCAGCACGUUGCCACAGCGCCAGGUCCCUGUUUGCUUUGCAGCGCUGGGAAUAGAACCCAGCACCUCGCAAAGGCUGGACGAGUGCUCUCCCUCGGAUGGGCUAUUGCCCAUAGUGUAGUAGGGAAAGCAGCAGCUGUUGGUAAAACGCACUGCAGAAAGGAAGCUCAGAUCCCACACUGAGAGAAACAAACAGUAGAUGAGGGCCAUUGUCCAGGCCUGACAGGGAACACGGGGAUACUCCAGAGGCUGAGCUGGGAGAAACCAGCUCAUGGCCAGCCUGGGCAACUUAGUGAGACCCUAUCUCCAAAUAAAAAUAGCCAAACUAUUAUAAACAAUAACAACAUCUUUCUUUCCCCCACCCAGAGCCUCCUAUUCCUCUCUGGUGACUUGAGGGGACACAUGGAGCUGAGGAUCAGGGGGUGGCCUUGGGUAUGGGCAGGAAUCAGAAUUGGUAGAUACAUUCUUCUCCUGAUUCUAACUGAGGAAAUUAUGGGGUUACCCAUCCUGGCCCCAGAAAAUACUAAGAAUCCUCUCAGGGAAAGACAGGAGAGGGAGGAGCCUCAGCCAAACACUAUCGAGCACAAACACAUACACACACACACACACCACGGGAGGCUGCAGGGCACUUGAGGCCUAGUCAGGGAG
rnacentral:lncRNA from 1 species